CAUCUCUCUCUCUCUCCAUGAUCUAUUCUUCUUCAUUAUCUCUCUCUCCCUAGAUGGAAGACAAAUCCAUCCACAAUCUCUUCCUCUCCAUUAUCUCCCUCGCCCUCACAGGAGAACAAAAUUGUUUAGAGCGGAAUCAAUUUUUGCCGUCUCCACGAAUUGGAUCCUGAAUCUUCUCACGUAUAAAUUUUGGAUGCUUUAUUGAGAUCAGGUCAGAGCACACGAACAAUGCCCAUCAUCGCUGCUCAAGAUUCUCCCACUCUGCAUGAAGUUUGUCUCUGGUCGGUUGCUGUCAUUGGGCAGGAUACACAUGCAUACACGGCGGACGCGGGAUUAACUCUAAUACCCUAGAGGGUAAACAAGUACUAAUCUUCAGAAUUUUGUGUCCAUAGCGAUUAAUCUUUUUGUAUUCCUUUAAUUUGUUAUAUUCAAGUUCUACAUUAUUUCUUUUUUGCAGUCUUUGGUUGAAAACAAUGGUCUG